AAGAUGGGCGGGGCAGUAUGCGCGGAGGGAUCCUUGGCCUUUGAGGAAGGCGACGAGAAGAUCGGCGGCCAUCGCCGCCAUUUUGGGCUGGGAGGAGGCAGCGGAGGGACUCGCUGCGCAGGGCGCGGAUCCUGAGGCCGAGCUCUGUCAACUUCCCUCCCCACCCCCAUUCGGCCUGGGUAUGGCGGCGAGGUCCCGCACAGAGGGACUCCCACUUCGACUGGAGAAGUGGGGGCGACGCCAGAUUCCAGAGACUGGCGCCGCGGGGGAGGGCGGAGGUCGCAGGUCUGGCCGCAAGUCGGCGUGGCAGUCAACUGGAGGCUCCGAGAGCGGAGAUCCCAGUGCACCCACCUUACCUCGCUUACACCAAAGCGCCAUCUCGCCGCCUGGGGUGCGAAAAACCACGGCCGUCUUAAACUACUGUAGCAACCACUAAUUCCCCCUGGGACCAGCUAGAUAGGGGCACGUGGAAACCUUCACGAGCCCGGUGCCUGAAGGUCUCUGAGGCUCUUGCCCUCAAGAUCUCUCCCAUUCAGCCCCGAUUCUCCGGACACCCUGACCUAGCAUGUCGCCAGCCUGUUGGUGAAAACCCUGAAGUGUGCUGCCCCACUUCUCUUGAAGGUUUACACCAAAGGGAUGAGGUUUUGUGCUUUACAGGCUUGGGGCACAAAGUCGGAGUCACUGCGGCUCCGAAAUAGAAAUGGAGUUGCCCAUUUCGUAUGCUUCAUCAACAUCUGCUUGCAUUUUGAAAUCCGAGUCUUAACUUUUACAAAACUUGUAGAGAAAUGGCUGCCCUCCUAGAGGGAAAAACGAACUACAGUAAUUCCAAUUCCAGUGUAAUAAUCUUCGUAAGGCUACAGAAUCUUUCCAGUUUAAAGAUUUUUUUUUCCCACAGACUAAACAAAAUCAGAGUAUUUUGUGUUCUACUGAUGCAUUGUUAAUAGGUAACCUCUAUUUUGAAAUUCCAAGUAAUUGAAAGAUCAUUUUUGUAGAUCCUAAAUGCUACCAAAAUAGAAGUUGCAGUUUUUAUCUACUUAAUAUAUAUAGCGUUUAAGAGAUGAGAAGACCUGCUUUGAAAGAAUAAACUCUUAAUCUUACAGUAUAGCUGUAGCAGCUUCUUAAAGAUUGAAGUUUGAUGUGAAGUUCUUUUACUGAAUUGCAGGUUAAACCAUCUUAUUUUCUACUGCUUGAAAUCUAAAUCCAGAGAGAUUUGUGGCUCAAGGAUAUCUUCAAAUAAAAGUUUUGUUGCUAAAAUGUCAGUUAAAAUUAUGGCUAGGUAGGUUCUGAAGUAGGAGAGGCUUUGACGUAGCAGGGUGACUGGCAGUGAAUUUUGUGGGUACCUUGUGAUGAGUGUCAUUAUCAGUUACAAAUGGUCAAAACAUGCCUAAGCCUUCAGCCUUACUAAAAGUUUUCCAAAACUUGGCCCGGCACACUGGCUCACCUGUAAUCCCAGCCCUUUGGGAGGCGGGGGCGGGUGGAUCACCUGAGGUCAGGAGUUUGAGACCAACCUGGCCAACAAAUACAAAAGUAGCCAGGUGUGGUGGUGCGUGCCUGUAAUCCCAGCUACUCGGGAGGCUGAGGCAGGAGAAUUGCUUGAACCCAGAAGGCACUGUUUGCCAUGAGCCUCUCACCAUUGCACUCUAGCCUGGGCGACAGAGCAAGACUCCGUCUCAAAAGAAAAAAAAAGUUUUCCAGAACUGAAGUUCUGCUGCUCCUAUUAAUAAUUUUUCUUCAGUUGGAGUGACAACUCCAUAGCGUUAACUUUUUUCGCUCUGCUCGCCAGAUAUCUUACAACUGGAUUACAAAAUAGGAUCAUCAUUGACUAGGGUCCUCAAUCCAAAACUGGAACCACUUACUCCUAACUGAAGCUUCAGUACAUUUGAUCCCUACCGUGGGUUGAUUUUUUACCUACAUAUGGCAUGUUGCCUCUACACUGAUCAAGAGAUGUGAGCUUUAAAAAGCUAACUAACUUGGUGGGACUUAAAUAGU